ACGCUCGACACCUACGGGGGCAGCAGUGGGGAAUAUUGCACAAUGGGGGAAACCCUGAUGCAGCGACGCCGCGUGAGCGAAGAAGUAUUUCGGUAUGUAAAGCUCUAUCAGCAGGGAAGAAAAUGACGGUACCUGACUAAGAAGCCCCGGCUAACUACGUGCCAGCAGCCGCGGUAAUCUGAGCGGGCUGGCAAGGC
rnacentral:rRNA from 1 species